AGAGUUUGAUCAUGGCUCAGGAUGAACGCUAGCUACAGGCUUAACACAUGCAAGUCGAGGGGAAACGACAUCGAAAGCUUGCUUUUGAUGGGCGUCGACCGGCGCACGGGUGAGUAACGCGUAUCCAACCUGCCCACCACUUGGGGAUAACCUUGCGAAAGUAAGACUAAUACCCAAUGACGUCUCUAGAAGACAUCUGAAAGAGAAUUAAAGAUUUAUCGGUGAUGGAUGGGGAUGGCGUCUGAUUAGCUUGGUUGGCGGGGUAACGGCCCACCAAGGCUACGAUCAGUAGGGGUUCUGAGAGGAACGGUCCCCCACAUUGGAACUGAGACACGGUCCAAACUCCUACGGGAGGCA
rnacentral:rRNA from 1 species